rnacentral:rRNA from 1 species
UACGUAGGGGGCAAGCGUUGUCCGGAAUCAUUGGGCGUAAAGAGCGUGUAGGCGGCCAGAAAAGUCCGCUGUGAAAACUCGAGGCUCAACUUCGAGCUGUCGGUGGAAACUUUCUGGCUAGAGUCCGGAAGAGGAGAAUGGAAUUCCUGGUGUAGCGGUGAAAUGCGCAGAUAUCAGGAAGGACACCCGUGGCGAAGGCGGUUCUCUGGGCAACAACUGACGCUGAGGAGCGAAAGCGUGGGGAGCGAACAGG